UUUAAUGAGCGGAGGAAAAGAAACCAACCGGGAUUCCCCGAGUAAGGGCGACUGAAACGGGAGGAGCCCAGCGCAUAACCUCGCGGUCCCAGCCGCGAGGGGUGUUGCGUUUCGGUGGACCCGUCCCGCCCCAGCCGUUCGGCGCCUAAGUCACUGCUUGAAAGCAGCCCCCGGGAGGGUGAUAGGCCCGUGUGGCGGCGCCCGCCAGAGGGUCAGGGCGGUUGGGGCGGAGGGGUCUCCACCGCAGAGUCGGGUUGCUUAGUACUGCAGCCCUAAGCAGGUGGUAAACUCCAUCUAAGGCUAAAUACAAACCACGAGACCGAUAGAGAACAAGUACCGUGAGGGAAAGUU
rnacentral:rRNA from 1 species